GACGAACGCUGGCGGCGUGCUUAACACAUGCAAGUCGAACGGAAAGGCCCCUUCGGGGGUACUCGAGUGGCGAACGGGUGAGUAACACGUGAGUAACCUGCCCUUGACUUCGGGAUAACUUCAGGAAACUGGGGCUAAUAACGGAUAGGAAUCUUUGCUGCAUGGUGGGGGUUGGAAAGCUUCGGCGGUGAUGGAUGGACUCGCGGCUUAUCAGCUUGUUGGUGGGGUAGUGGCUUACCAAGGCUUGGACGGGUAGCUGGCCUGAGAGGGCGAGCGGCCACCUUGGGACUGAGAUACGGCCCAGGCUCCUACGGGAGGCAGCAGUGGGGAAGAUUGCACAAUGGGCGGAGGCCUGAUGCAGCAACGCCGCGUGCGGGAUGACGGCCUUCGGGUUGUAAACCGCUUUCAGCAGGGGCGAAGCUUGUGGUGACGGUACCUGCAGAAGAAGCACCGGCUAACUACGUG
rnacentral:rRNA from 1 species